GCCAUGGAGGUCUUCUGCUCCGUCUGCUCCGCCCUGCUGGUCUUCAGCUCUGCCUGCUCUGCCCUGGUGGUCUUCGGCUCUGCACUG